CUCCCUGUGGCUCAGUUGGUAGAGCAUGGUGUUUGCAAUGGUGUUUGCAACGCCAGGGUUGUGGGUUCAAUUCCCAUGGGGGGC
rnacentral:tRNA from 1 species